rnacentral:lncRNA from 1 species
UGGCUGAAAGCAAUUAUGGUACGGUGCUACAUUUGCACCAUAACUAGAUCCAUCAAUUUCUACCCUUAUAAGUAUAGACUCCACUCCUCUUUUCAAGUUAAUGUUUAGAUUGAUCAAUAAAUAAACUCGAUUCAUCAAUCUCAACAUUAUAAUAACAAUAUAAGUAGAGAAUUAUUACGCAUGAUAACAAGUGGUGAUGAAUCAUAAAUGAACACUUAAAAUGAUGCACGACUAGUGUGUAAUUUUCUUUUUUAAAAUUUAAGAAUAAAAAUAUUAAAAGUGAAGAGGGGGGAGGGGUUUGGUGAGCAAAAGGGUUAAUAUAAAAAUGGGUUGUGGUAGGUAAUGAGAUGUGCGAUUGGUUGAAAGCCAGUCCUCCUAAUAAUGAAAUAAGCCAUGACGUUUCUUAUUAAAACGUCGGCAUUUCCUUGCCACUCCUCCUUGGCCCUACUCUUAUUUAUAUACGUACCCUUUUGAAGAUAAUAACAAUAAUAAUAAUUUGACACUUUGAAGCUAAUCAUAGCUAUUGAUAAGGAUCGCAUUACUACUUUGAUAUAGAUAUGUGUGUAACGUACUAAUGUAAUGUUGCAUGUAUUAACAAAUUAAUAGAUAUAUAUAUAUAUAUAUAUGUAGGUAUGUUGUGUGAGCGUGACAUUGCUAAAGAUGGAUUUAAAAUAACGAAAUUGACUUUUGAUAAAUGUUCAUGAUCAUUUAUAAGGUUUUAUGUACCAGUUGGGCAUUCAUAAUGUUUUGCGUCUUCAUAUACGUUAUUUUAAUUUGUAAUUUAGAAAUAAUUUUUGAUGAAUUGAAAAUAAUUUUAUUAAGAUAGUUUCAUUUAUCAUCACUUUCUUUUUUUUCUUUAAAACAAAAAAAAAACAUUUAAAAAGAUCCUCUAUAAGAAGCAUAUAGUAAUCACUUAUUUAGGAAGGACUUAAAGCUUUAUGUGUAUAAAAGAUGUUAAUUAUUUCAAUCAAUUACUUAUUAUUAUUACUUUUGGGGGGGGGGGGGGAUGCUACCUUUAUUAUAAUGUUAAGGAUUUGAACUAAGUUAUUAUUUUUAUUUUUGAAAAAAAUACUACCUUUAUCAUACGGUUAAGGUAUUUGGUAUUAAGAUUAGGUAGUUAUAAAUUAAAAGUUAUAACACUAAAGUAUUUGAUAAAUAUUAACAAGCACUAAAAUUAACUUUCAGAUCUCUAAAAAGCAAUCUCAAAUGGGCUCUUAAUGCAAUAAUAAAAAACACACUGCUAAAGAUAAACAUUUAUAAAUUAAAACUAAUUAAUUAAUUUGUUAAAAGCAUCGCGUUUACUUUGUAACAAAGUAUUUUUUUUUAAUUACUGUUUUAACACAAGAGAUAAAAAGUAUAUGGGACACCAAAGAGAUGAAACUUUCUUUUGUUUUUCCAAAUCAAAGUUCUUGUCGGUGUGCCAUGACCAUGAAAUUUUCACUAACUUUUGAAGAAUUUCAGCUGACCUCAUCUUAUAAGACAAUGGGGGAAGAAACUUCACAGACGACCCUUUCAUCCCUCAAAGUCAGUCUUUUGUUUAUGUUUUUUCAUUUCAUCAAGUUGAUUUUAGUCUAAAAGUCUCUAAUUUUCUUUUCAAUUUUUUCGGUCCAUAAAGUAGUCUUUUUGACUCCUCAUACUUUACUUUAAUACCAUUUUUGAAAGAUAGCUUCUGAUCAUUUUAAUUUGAUUAAAAAAUUUAUUAUCAUAUCUAAUCUU